rnacentral:rRNA from 1 species
AAUAGAUACCCAGGUAGUCCACGCCGUAAACGAUGAGUGCUAAGUGUUAGGGGGUUUCCGCCCCUUAGUGCUGCAGCUAACGCAUUAAGCACUCCGCCUGGGGAGUACGGUCGCAAGACUGAAACUCAAAGGAAUUGACGGGGGCCCGCACAAGCGGUGGAGCAUGUGGUUUAAUUCGAAGCAACGCGAAGAACCUUACCAGGUCUUGACAUCCCGUUGACCACUGUAGAGAUAUAGUUUCCCCUUCGGGGGCAACGGUGACAGGUGGUGCAUGGUUGUCGUCAGCUCGUGUCGUGAGAUGUUGGGUUAAGUCCCGCAACGAGCGCAACCCUUGAUCUUAGUUGCCAUCAUUUAGCUGGGCACUCUAAGGUGACUGCCGGUGACAAACCGGAGGAAGGUGGGGAUGACGUCAAAUCAUCAUGCCCCUUAUGACCUGGGCUACACACGUGCUACAAUGGACGAUACAAACGGUUGCCAACUCGCGAGAGGGAGCUAAUCCGAUAAAGUCGUUCUCAGUUCGGAUUGUAGG